rnacentral:rRNA from 1 species
GAUCCUGGCUCAGGACGAACGCUGGCGGCGCGCCUAACACAUGCAAGUCGAACGGAGCUGAGAGGAGCUUGCUUUUCUUGACUUAGUGGCGAACGGGUGAGUAACGCGUGAGUAACCUGCCCUGGAGUGGGGGGACAACAGUUGGAAACGACUGCUAAUACCGCAUAAGCCCACGGCCCGGCAUCGGGCUGCGGGAAAAGGAUUUAUUCGCUUCAGGAUGGACUCGCGUCCAAUUAGCUAGUUGGUG